rnacentral:rRNA from 1 species
CUUAAUUGGGCGUUAAGUUGCAGGGUAUAGACCCGAAACCCGGUGAUCUAGCCAUGGGCAGGUUGAAGGUUGGGUAACACUAACUGGAGGACCGAACCGACUAAUGUUGAAAAAUUAGCGGAUGACCUGUGGCUGGGGGUGAAAGGCCAAUCAAACCGGGAGAUAGCUGGUUCUCCCCGAAAGCUAUUUAGGUAGCGCCUCGUGAAUUCAUCUCCGGGGGUAGAGCACUGUUUCGGCUAGGGGGCCAUCCCGGCUUACCAACCCGAUGCAAACUGCGAAUACCGGAGAAUGUUAUCACGGGAGACACACGGCGGGUGCUAACGUCCGUCGUGAAGAGGGAAACAACCCAGACCGCCAGCUAAGGUCCCAAAGUCAUGGUUAAGUGGGAAACGAUGUGGGAAGGCCCAGACAGCCAGGAUGUUGGCUUAGAAGCAGCCAUCAUUUAAAGAAAGCGUAAUAGCUCACUGGUCGAGUCGGCCUGCGCGGAAGAUGUAACGGGGCUAAACCAUGCACCGAAGCUGCGGCAGCGAACGUAUCACCCAAGACAACUUUACGGAGUUGACGAUUGACGGAGCGAAGCGACGUCAAAGCGUUCAUUAAAGUCGAGUUGGCUUAGGGAUACGUUCGUUGGGUAGGGGAGCGUUCUGUAAGCCUGUGAAGGUGUGUCGUGAGGCAUGCUGGAGGUAUCAGAAGUGCGAAUGCUGACAUAAGUAACGAUAAAGCGGGUGAAAAGCCCGCUCGCCGGAAGACCAAGGGUUCCUGUCCAACGUUAAUCGGGGCAGGGUGAGUCGACCCCUAAGGCGAGGCCGAAAGGCGUAGUCGAUGGGAAACGGGUUAAUAUUCCCGUACUUGGUGUUACUGCGAAGGGGGGACGGAGAAGGCUAUGUUGGCCGGGCGACGGUUGUCCCGGUUUAAGCGUGUAGGUGUGUGUUCCAGGUAAAUCCGGUUCACUU